rnacentral:rRNA from 1 species
GACGAACGCUGGCGGCGUGCUUAACACAUGCAAGUCGAACGGAAAGGCCCUGCUUGCAGGGUACUCGAGUGGCGAACGGGUGAGUAACACGUGGGUGAUCUGCCCUGCACUUCGGGAUAAGCCUGGGAAACUGGGUCUAAUACCGGAUAGGAGCCAUUUUGAGUGGGAUGGUUGGAAAGUUUUUUCGGUGUAGGAUGAGCUCGCGGCCUAUCAGCUUGUUGGUGGGGUAAUGGCCUACCAAGGCGGCGACGGGUAGCCGGCCUGAGAGGGUGGACGGCCACAUUGGGACUGAGAUACGGCCCAGACUCCUACGGGAGGCAGCAGUGGGGAAUAUUGCACAAUGGGCGCAAGCCUGAUGCAGCGACGCCGCGUGGGGGAGGACGGCCUUCGGGUUGUAAACUCCUUUCGCUAGGGACGAAGCUUUUUGUGACGGUACCUAGACAAGAAGCACCGGCUAACUACGUG